UACGGGAGGCAGCAGUGGGGAAUCUUGCACAAUGGAGGAAACUCUGAUGCAGCGAUGCCGCGUGAGUGAAGAAGGCCCUUGGGUUGUAAAGCUCUUUCGUCGGGGAAGAAAAUGACUGUACCCGAAUAAGAAGGU
rnacentral:rRNA from 1 species